AUACGGAGGAUGCGAGCGUUAUCCGGAUUUAUUGGGUUUAAAGGGUGCGUAGGCGGCCUUGUAAGUCAGCGGUGAAAUUUUGCAGCUUAACUGUAAAAGUGCCGUUGAUACUGUGAGGCUAGGAUUUGGUUGCUGUGGGUGGAAUGUGUGGUGUAGCGGUGAAAUGCUUAGAGAUCACACAGAAUAUCGAUUGCGAAGGCAGCUCACAAAGCCAAGAUUGACGCUGAGGCACGAAAGUGUGGGGAUAAAACAGGAUUAGAUACCCUGGUAGUCCACACUGUAAACGAUGAUAACUAACUGCCGGCCCGUUGCGGGUCGGUGGCCAAGCGAAAGCGAUAAGUCAUCCACCUGGGGAGUACGACCGCAAGGUUGAAACUCAAAUGAAUUGACGGGG
rnacentral:rRNA from 1 species